UAUUUUUUAGUGAAAACGACAUUUUAUAUAGCUUUAACAUGAGUACAUCCAGCCAGAUAAAAAAAAGUAACAAAUACAAGGUAGGAGGUAUGUAUCUUCAUCUUUUCACUCUUUUAUCCAUUAUGUUUAGUAUCACCUUAACUUCCCGAUCAAUGGUAUCAUUUCACGACAUGGCCCCCUCCUGGUCUUUUGUUAGAUCAUGGGAGCUAGCUAUGUGCAUAUUUCUCACUUGCCAUGUACGCAUGCACAUUUAGUUGCUCUCAAUUGUCUCACUUCCAUUAUAAUAUCACAUCACAGUCCUUCCCACACCAUCAAAUACUCAUGCAUCAAUGAUGGUUCCUUUCUCUGGUUUCCCCCACAGCCUUGCUUGCAUCACCUGACGUGCGUGCAUCUUAAAGUGCACGAAAACUUUGAGAUGAAGGGAUGGUCUCCAUCGCAUGACCUGUCUUGCAUCACCAUGCUGCAUCGAUCAGCUGUUGUUGCGCUCUUUCGCGCAUGACGUGGAACGCCGAAAGCGGCCCGAACGACAGAUCCAUCUCGCUGACGCCCACCUCUCAUUCCUAAAUAUGUGAAGCCCAUUCGGCUCUCAAUUCCCUCCACCAAUCAAGACACGAAAACUCUCACCUCCUUGUCACACCCUAGCUCUACCGCAGCA
rnacentral:lncRNA from 1 species